GAACUGAUGAGAUCAAAGAAGCUACACCUAAACCAGAUGAUAAUGAAUGAGCAGCAGUAAAAACUGGUGAAAUUUCUUUAGGAUUGAAAUAUGCUAUGUUGUAACUUCUUUUUCAUUUGUCUGGAUUCAACUCUUUGUUAGUUCUAGAUCUUGUGAUUUGUAAUACCUAAAAUCAACCGUUUCUUGUUAAUUGUUGUUCUUGUUUGUUUCUAUGUUGAUUUGCUGUUGUAUUUGGAUUAUUUCCUUUUUCUCAAAGGAAUGACUUACUGGGAAGAUGGAUGUACCUUUUAAUCCACAAAUUUGUUAGCU
rnacentral:misc_RNA from 1 species